AGAGAGAUUCCGUCACCUCCAAAAGAGUUAAACACAGGGACACAUUUGAAGUCUCGGAGCCGGGUGUUGGUUCCGGUAGUGAUCGAGGGAAAUUAGUACCGAAGUCCGGGAUGGAAGAUGGCGAGAAAAGCUGUGUGUAUUUCUGCGUGCCCGUACCGCAAACCGACACAGGUAGGUAGGAAGAAGAUUCUAAGGCCAACGGGAGAAGGGUUGUUAAGGAACUCGGCAAAUUGACCCCGUAACUUCGGGAGAAGGGGUGCUCUAGAGAUAGAGCCGCAGAGAAUCGGCCCAAGCAACUGUUUACCAAAAACACAGGUUUGUGCUAAAUCGAAAGAUGACGUAUACGAGCUGACGCCUGCCCGGUGCUGGAAGGUUAAGAGGAGAUGUGCAAGCAUUGAAUCGAAGCCCCAGUGAACGGCGGCCGUAGCAAUAACGGUCCUAAGGUAGCGAAAUUCCUUGUCCGGUAAGUUCUGACCCGCAUGAAAGGCGUAAUGAUUUGGGCACUGUCUCGACAGCCCGCCCGGCGAAAUUGUAGUACCGGUGAAGAUGCCGGUUACCCGCGACAAGACGGAAAGACCCCAUGGAGCUUUACUGUAGCCUAAUAUUGGGUUUCGAUGUUGCAUGCACAGGAUAGAUGGGACACUGGGAAGCAAGUGCUUUGGCAUUUGUGGAGUGGCCGUUGGGAUACCAUCCUUGCGAUAUUGGAAUUCUAACCUGCGCCUUUGAAUCAAGGCGGGGGACAUUGUUAGGUGGGCAGUUUGACUGGGGCGGUCGCCUCCUAAAGAGUAACGGAGGCGUUCAAAGGUUCGCUCAGCUUGAACGGAAAUCAAGCAAAAGAGUGCAAACGCAGAAGCGAGCCUAACUGCGAGACUGACGGGUCGAGCAGUAACGAAAGUUGGAGUUAGUGAUCCGGUGGUAUGUGAGUGGAAAUGCCAUCGCUCAACGGAUAAAAGUUACCCUGGGGAUAACAGGCUGAUCUCCCCCAAGAGUCCACAUCGACGGGGAGGUUUGGCACCUUGAUGUCGGCUCAUCGCAUCCUGGGGCUGUAUUCGGUCCCAAGGGUUUGGCUGUUCGCCAAUUAAAGCGGUACGCGAGCUGGGUUCAGAACGUCGUGAGACAGUUCGGUCCCUAUCUGUCGUGGGCGCAGGAUAUUUGAUGGGAGCUGUUCCUAGUACGAGAGGACCGGAGCGGACGUACCUCUGGCGCACCAGUUGUUCUGCCAAGGGCAUAGCUGGGCAACUAUGUACGGAUCGGAUAAACGCUGAAAGCAUCUAAGCGUGAAGCCGACCCAAAGAUAAGAUAUCCCAUUGUUUCAAACAAGUAAGACCCCUUGAAGACUACAAGGUUGAUAGGCAUGAUGUGUAAGUGGAGUGAUCCAUUCAGCAAGCAUGUACUAAUAGGUCGAGGGCUUGACCG
rnacentral:rRNA from 1 species